rnacentral:tRNA from 1 species
GCCGCUAUGGUGAAAUCGGUAGACACGCUGCUGCUCUUAGGAAGCAGUGCUAGAGCAUCUCGGUUCGAGUCCGAGUGGCGGCA